GUAGUCUCGCACAGAUGCAUAUCAAUAAGCGGAGGAAAAGAAACUAACAAGGAUUCCCCUAGUAACGGCGAGUGAAGCGGGAAGAGCUCAAAUUUGAAAUCUUAAAGGGUUUCCCUUUACGAAUUGUAGUUUAAAGAAGUGUUUUCUGUUGAGGUUUUGGUAAAAGUUCUUUGGAAUGGGACAUCAUAGAGGGUGAGAAUCCCGUAUUUGACCUUUACUUUCAACUUUGUGAUACACUUUCAAAGAGUCGGAUUGUUUGGGAAUGCAGUCCAAAAUGGGUGGUAAUUUCAUCUAAAGCUAAAUAUUGGCGAGAGACCGAUAGCGAACAAGUACCGUGAGGGAAAGAUGAAAAGAACUUUGAAAAGAGAGUUAAACAGUACGUGAAAUUGUCAAAAGGGAAGCGUUUGACACCAGUGUUGUUUUUCUGAAAAUCAAUUAAAGAACUGUUUAUGCUAAGCUGUUUAGACUUUAUCGGCUAACUGUUUAGUUGUGAGCUUUUCUUUAAUGCACUUUUCAGUUAACAAGUCAACAUCAAUUUCUUUUGCUGUAAAAAAGCUUGAGGAAGGUGGCUUGAGAUUCGUCUUAAGUGUUUAUAGCCUCUUGCCUAUGCAGUCGGAGAGAUUGAGGUCUGCAGCGUAGAUCCUUCGGGGCUAAAUGCAUUUGUGCUAAGUUAUAGCAUUUUAUAGACAACUUGUUGACUAUGAUUUGUCUUGUAGCUUACUCGCUUAUGCUAUUUUACCUACGCUUAGGAUGUUGAUCUGUAGUGCGUGCGC
rnacentral:rRNA from 1 species